rnacentral:rRNA from 1 species
UACGGAGGGUGCGAGCGUUGUCCGGAAUCACUGGGCGUAAAGGGCGCGUAGGCGGCCUGAUAAGUAGGGGGUGAAAUCCUGCGGCUUAACCGCAGGGCUGCCUUCUAAACUGUCAGGCUAGAGCACAGUAGAGGCAGGUGGAAUUCCCGGUGUAGCAGUGGAAUGCGUAGAGAUCGGGAAGAACAUCAGUGGCGAAGGCGGCCUGCUGGGCUGUUGCUGACGCUGAGGCGCGACAGCGUGGGGAGCAAACAGG